AAAAAAAAAAAAAAAAAGGACACACCCAGAGCCAAACAAAGUUGGGUUUUUUGAUGUGAUUCAUAAAAACAUGCAUCAUGGGGGACCAUGUGGCGUCCCAGGAAGGAGGUACUGUAAAGGACCUUAAGGAGUUGGGGUGGGUGAUAUGGUGGAGUGGGGGCUCCAAGAAGCAGGGCCGUGCUCUGGCUUGACUGCUGUCAGGAAGCAGAGAUGAUUCCACUCCUGGAUCUCAAUAAUUGUUAUCCAGGAAGCAGGACAAACCAUAUGAGGUUAAAGUAGUGACUGGAAGAGAAGACGCCGUCUCUCGUGUUAGCCAGGUAGGGGAUGUUGGAUCGUUUUUGUGGUUCGAAUGCGCUCCUGUUUUUGUCUGAGCAGACCUGAUUACCAGCGCCGUUGUUUUUGUCUUGGUCCAGCACGGACACAGGGUGACCUGGCCUGAUGGUUCAGUGAAAUCAGUGUUCGGUAGGGCCAGCUGCGAGGGCCAGGCCAGCCCCACCUGCCAGGGGCUGCUGUCUUCUCACCAUUCAUCCAUGUGCUUUUUUCUCAAACACAUAAUACGGUGUGCUGUCUCUGUGACGGGCACUCAGUGAUUUACAAGCCCAAGUUCAUUUAAUCAGAUGCCACCCUAGAACCCUCCCUCACCUCAGGUGCCGUGUCACCCUUGUCCUGGCUUCUCUCCGCAGCCUCCUACGGGCUGGUAUCUGUGUGCUCCAUGAGGACGGGGCCUUCUGUUUUUUUGGCUGCGGUAUCCUCAUUGCCUGGAACCUAGCAGGUGCUCAAAAACUUUGUUGAUGAUGCUGACGUUUAAUUAAAGAAUGUGUUGUCUGUAUGAUACAUACAUGCCCGGCCAAAUCGCACCUGGUCUCUUCCAGUAGAAAUUUUCCAAAGCUCUGAUUCCCAGGGCCACUGUUCUAAAAGACAAUUCGCGGUACUCCCAUCCACCCCACCCCCCAUUAUCCAUCCAUCCAUCCACUCAUCCAUCCAUCCAUCCACUUGCCCAUCCAUCCACCUGAGCACACAUCCAUCCACCCACCCACCUGACCAUCCAUCCAUCCAUCCAUCCACCUGACCACCCACGCAUCCAUCCAUCCAUCCAUCCAUCCAUCCAUCCAUCUACCAUCUAUCCACCCAUCCAUCCACCAUCUAUCCACCCAUCCACCUGCACUAGUUUUUAUUGGUUUGUACAUAACUUAUUCGAAAGUGAAUGUCUUUAGAAAGUUUCCCCUAAAUAAGUUUUCCUUUCUUGUUUUUCCUUCUCCGUGUGUUUACUGGGCUGCUAUGUCAGGUGCUUUGCUAACUAACACGUGGCUGGGCCCGUGGGUCCGGGAGGCAACACUGGCGUCCUGAGCGCGAGGUCCCUCCGCCCAGGAAGUGCAGGAGACAGCCCGGCAUAGGAUGACCUGGGGUGGGGGGCUGUAGGGAGGGGAAGAGGACUUGGGAUCCGCACAGGGGUACCGCGAGCCACACCAGCCACCGCCGCGACUACAGGACAGGAGGGGGCGGUACCUGGAGGGAGUGAUGGGGCGGGGCUGGAGAGGGCCUGGCAAGGGGUGACGUGACUGACGUGGCGCAGCGAGAGGGCACAGGCGGAAGGGGCGUGGCCAAUACGGGUGAGGGGCGGGGCUAGGCGGCUGCAGUUUAGAUUGGGCGAGGCCUCCGAGGAUAGCGCGGGUGGAGCCAGACUAAAACAACAAUGACAAAAGCGAAUUUCCUCCAGUGUCCUUGAUGUCGAAGUCUGCAAUUCUACCAUGUUUUGAACUGGACUGGUAGCUCAGAUUGGACUCAGAUGAGGACUGUGGAUUCCAUUGUUUUGUUUUGUUUUUUAACAUUUUUAAUUUAAUUUGAACUUAAUCAUGCAGGGAAAUGUACACUUUUUGCUAAACAGUGAUAAUCAUAUAACCACCACCAUGAUCAAGAUGCAGGAUAAUUCCGUUCACCCCCCAAAAUUCCCUCAUGCUGACCCUUUGUGGUCUGUGCCUCCCCCUACACCCCUACACACAUCCCUGACGAUGCCCCCUCCAUCCCUAAAGUUUUGUCUUUGCAUGAAUAUCAUAUAAAUGGAAUCAUCAUACAGUA